rnacentral:rRNA from 1 species
GUUUGGGUGGCGGACGGGUGAGUAACGCGUAAAGAACUUGCCUCACAGAUAGGGACAACAUUUGGAAACGAAUGCUAAUACCUGAUAUUAUGAUUAUAUGGCAUCGUAUAAUUAUGAAAGCUAUAUGCGCUGUGAGAGAGCUUUGCGUCCCAUUAGCUAGUUGGAGAGGUAACGGCUCACCAAGGCGAUGAUGGGUAGCCGGCCUGAGAGGGUGAUCGGCCACAAGGGGACUGAGACACGGCCCUUACUCC